AAAGGAAGGAGGGAUUCAGUAUCACCUGCUGGAAGAUAGUUACUACAAUAGCCAGAAAAAUAGGUGCUGCUGAGCAAAUUCUUUCCCUGGGGAUGUGGCAUGUCCGUGUGAGGCAUUUGCCCUUCAUACCCCAUAACAUAAGCGAUGUAGAAGUUCAGCUGUAUUAAAAACUUAUGAGAUGGCAGAUGGCCAGAUGGAGAUGUCUUGUGUGCAUGGACAGAGCCUGUAGGAAAGGUGGAAGCAAAGCCAUGGAAGGAGAAACUCUUCAAGAGAUGGAGUUGCCACCAAAGUAACUGUCCACUUGUCAGGAAUGGCAAGAAGACAACCUUAAUCCAGAUGUUGGCACCCAUAUCAGUUUAUAAGAUAGAUGCCAGGGACAAACUUUGCAACAAAGGACAAGACAGGCUGGGACAACACAGGAUCAUUGAUACAGCUUUGGGAUAGAAGAAGGGAAUAAAGGAUCCAUGAAAGACCCUCA
rnacentral:lncRNA from 1 species